UUUGGCUGGUUUCUCGGAGGCUGGAUUCAUGAGUGGUUGGAAAACAUAUCCACGCAUUUGAUAAAAUAUUCUAUAGGAACAUGGUAGGGAGAGAAAAAUAUGCGAUGACAACUUUUUGUGUAAAAAUUUAAUAAAACUUAAAAUUUAAAAUAAAAAAAAAUUUAAAAAUCCA
rnacentral:sRNA from 1 species